rnacentral:hammerhead_ribozyme from 1 species
GUACUGCUGGAGAGUCCCAAACUAGGACGAAACAGCUGUCCGGUAC